UGUCAUGAGCAGCUGCUGCGUUUCUUAACGUAGAGGAAAGUCCAUGCUCGCACUAGCUGAGAAGCUAGUAGUGUUCGUGCCUAGCCAAUUCAUAAGCUAGGGCAGUUGCAAUUCUGCAAUUGACGGCAAGAGAAGCACCUAAGUCUUCUAUUAGAUACGGUACACACUCUUUGAAGGUGCCACAGUGACGGAGUCUGUUUGGAAACGAACAGAGUGGAACGAGGUAAACCCCGCGAGCGAGAAACCCAAACAAUGGUAGGGGCAUUUUUUAGUCUGGAAAUGAACGGAACUAAAAAGACGAUUUAUUCGUAGAUAGAUAGUUGCUACUUUUAGUACGAGGCUCAUCACCGUAUGCAGUACAAUCGUACAGAACAUGGCUUAUGAUU
rfam:Bacillus sp. JCM 19045 DNA, contig: contig00020.